rnacentral:rRNA from 1 species
UACGUAGGGCGCAAGCGUUUGUCCGGAAUUAUUGGGCGUAAAGAGUUCGUAGGCGGUUUGUCGCGUCGUUCGUGAAAACUUGGGGCUUAACUCCAAGCGUGCGGGCGAUACGGGCAGACUUGAGUACUACAGGGGAGACUGGAAUUCCUGGUGUAGCGGUGAAAUGCGCAGAUAUCAGGAGGAACACCGGUGGCGAAGGCGGGUCUCUGGGCCUAACUGACGCUGAGGAGCGAAAGCAUGGGGAGCGAACAGG